rnacentral:tRNA from 15 species
CACUAGGAAGCUAAACCAGGGUAACAGCAUUGGCCUUUUAAGCCAAAGAUUGGUGCCUCCCAACCACCUCUAGUGA